AGGCCAGUAGCUUAAUUUGGUAGAGCAGCGGUCUCCAAAACCGCAGGUUGGGGGUUCGAUUCCCUCCUGGCCUG
rnacentral:tRNA from 1 species